rnacentral:rRNA from 1 species
CUCGUAGGUGGCCAACUAAGUCAGACGUGAAAUCCCCAGGCUCAACCUGGGAACUGCGUCUGAUACUGGAUGGCUUGAAUUCGGGAGAGGGAUGCAGAAUUCCAGGUGUAGCGGUGAAAUGCGUAGAUAUCUGGAGGAAUACCGGUGGCGAAGGCGGCAUCCUGGACCGAGAUUGACACUGAUGAGCGAAAGCCAGGGGAGCAAACG